rnacentral:lncRNA from 1 species
CACUUGGCUAGUGAAAAACAAGAGCCAGCUGUUUUCCCUCAAACCUCGGCGUCCGUGGGGGACGCUCCGCUCUCGUCCAGAAACAAAUGGAGAAGACAAAGCGCAGAUCCAGUCGGACCCCGGAGCACCCUGAGCGAAGCCGUCGGGGUCCCGCCCCAGGCUCGCCUGACUCACGUCUCCUAGCUUCGGAGACCAGCAUUUGGCGUGAACUGGCUCACUUGCCGUGACCACCGCUCGCUCACCUUACUGGGUCCCCAAGCUGCUGCGGGCCCUGGCUCAGGCGAAGACACUCCGACCAGAUCCAUUCCGGGAAGAAGGCAGAGACGAGAACAGAGUCGAGAGGUGACAAGAGGAAGAAAGGGCUCCGCCGAGGACACGGGCGGGGCACGGGCAACCCGCUGCCGGUGCCGGAGGUGAGGUGACAGAUGGCGGCGGCGGCGGCGGCGGCCGCGGCCGGAACUGGACCACUUCUUUUCCGCCCUGUAUACUAAGGAUCUCACUUCUGAUUGGCUGUUCAUAACCCAGGAGGGCUGUACUUCCGGUCUCUGCGCUUCCGAUUCAAAGGUUUUCUGGCAAGGGUUGUUGACGAGCUCCUGGCAAGGCAGGGCUGGGUUUGGCUUUCUCUCAGCGGGCACUCCCUGUGCAGGCACCGCCUUCCGGUUCCUUCUUCCCAGUCACCGAAUCUAAUUAAUUCAAGUGUGGCCUCCGAAUGCUUAAGCCUGGCUGUCUCUGAUCAUUAUUUCCCGGGGUAAUUCGAAACCCGGACGGAUUGGCGGAAGGGGCGGCGGCGGCAGAACUGGCAUCUUUAAAGAGGGGAAAGUGAUAGUGAUACAGAUUGCGACUGGGUUAAGUGUCAUCUGAGGGCAGGUGUGGAAUGAGAAAAGCUGCUGAAUAUGUGGCCUAAUACUGAGCGAAAAAUAAGACGGCGCAAUAAAAUGGGUGAUUCUCUAUUUUAUUGGGAAAUUUAUAUAAUGACUGGAAAAGCAUAAGCAUUAUACAUCACUAUAUCCAAGCACUAGUCGGGGUUUAAUCUCAAAAAUGAUGUUGAGGAGAAGAUUCCAUCCGUUCCUGAAAAUGAAACAGGUACAUAGAAGAAAGUAACUCAAUUUGGACAUUAAAUGGCCCCUCCAGCUGGCCGCCUAGCAUUUUAACACAUGAGCUUUGUGGGGGUUGUUCGGAUCAAAUCACAAGAGCUAAAAUUAAAAAACAACAACAACCUCAGAGCUGGUUGUUAUGACC